rnacentral:rRNA from 1 species
UGGGGAAUAUUGGACAAUGGGCGCAAGCCUGAUCCAGCCAUGCCGCGUGAACGAUGAAGGCCUUAGGGUUGUAAAGCUCUUUCGGCGGGGAAGAUAAUGACGGUACCCGCAGAAGAAGCCCCGGCUAACUCUGUGCCAGCAGCCGCGGUAAUACAGAGGGGGCAAGCGUUGUUCGGAAUCACUGGGCGUAAAGCGCACGUAGGUGGAUAGUUAAGUUCGGGGUGAAAUCCCAGGGCUCAACCCUGGAACUGCCUCGGAUACUGGCUAUCUCGAGUCCGGAAGAGGUGAGUGGAAUUCCUAGUGUAGAGGUGAAAUUCGUAGAUAUUAGGAAGAACACCGGUGGCGAAGGCAAUCCCCUGGACCUGUACUGACGCUCAUGCACGAAAGCGUGGGGAGCAAACAGGAUUAGAUACCCGCGUAGUCCCUGAGCGGGCUGGCAAGGCGCAU